rnacentral:misc_RNA from 1 species
CCAAUAGCGUAUAUUAAAGUUGUUGCAGUUAAAAAGCUCGUAGUUGAAUUUCGGGAUCAAUAUAUCGGUCGUGCCAUUGGUACGUACUGGUAUCAUUGGUUUCUCCUUUCUGACGAACCAUGAUGUCAUUAAUUUGGUGUUAUGGGAAGUUAGGACUGUUACUUUGAAAAAAUUAGAGUGUUUAAAGCAGGCUUUAGCUUGAAUACAUUAGCAUGGAAUAAUGAAAUAGGACGUUCGAACCUAUUUUGUUGGUUUCUAGGAUCAACGUAAUGAUUAAUAGGGAUAGUUGGGGGCAUUAGUAUUCAAUUGUCAGAGGUGAAAUGCUUGGAUUUAUUGAAGACUAACUACUGCGAAAGCAUUUGCCAAGGAUGUUUUCAUUAAUCAAGAACGAAAGUUAGGGGAUCGAAGACGAUCAGAUACCGUCGUAGUCUUAACCAUAAACUAUGCCGACUAGGGAUCGGAUGAUGUUAAUUUUUUAAUGACUCAUUCGGCGCCUUACG